GAACAGUGUGAGUUAGUAUUGACUGUUUGAUACGUAAACAUGAAAUUCUUCAUACUGUUGCAGAUGGUGUUAAUACUUAUUUUAAUUGGGUGCGGUGUUAACAUGACUGAAUACAAAAAUCGAAAGGAUGGAAACUUUAUUAAAGUUAAAGCCAAAGUUGUAUGUGAUCAAGAUGAAAUAUUCAUGGCCGGAAAAUGCAGACCUGUAAAUGUUUAAUUACAAAUGAACUAAUAAUGUUUCCUCACAUGAUCCCGGAAACAGGAGACACGAAUAACAUAGCCAUAAUAAUAGCCGGACAAUAAGUAGUUAAGAGAUAGUAGUUAAGUGUAACAAGAUUAUUGUAAUACAAUUUUUUUCAUAAUUGUCUUAUUUACAUUACAAAUUACCAAAUAAAAUACCUAAAGCUAA